GUGUGUAUGGUAUAAUUAACACGUUAGCUUUUCAUGCUAAAGAUAUAUCCUCAUAUUACACAC
rnacentral:tRNA from 1 species